rnacentral:rRNA from 1 species
UGGGGGAUAUUGGUCAAUGGGGGCAACCCUGAACCAGCGACGCCGCGUGAGGGAAGAAGGUCUUCGGAUUGUAAACCUCUGUCUUCGGUGACGAUAAUGACGGUAGCCGAGGAGGAAGCCACGGCUAACUACGUGCCAGCAGCCGCGGUAAUACGUAGGUGGCAAGCGUUGUCCGGAAUUACUGGGUGUAAAGGGAGCGUAGGCGGGGACGCAAGUUGAAUGUCAAAUCCAUCGGCUCAACCGGUGAUCGCGUUCAAAACUGUGUCUCUUGAGUGGAGUAGAGGCAGGCGGAAUUCCCAGUGUAGCGGUGAAAUGCGUAGAUAUUGGGAGGAACACCAGUGGCGAAGGCGGCCUGCUGGGCUCUAACUGACGCUGAGGUUCGAAAGUGUGGGUAGCAAACAGG